UAGGGAAUCUUCGGCAAUGGGGGCAACCCUGACCGAGCAACGCCGCGUGAGUGAAGAAGGUUUUCGGAUCGUAAAGCUCUGUUGUAAGUCAAGAACGAGUGUGAGAGUGGAAAGUUCACACUGUGACGGUAGCUUACCAGAAAGGGACGGCUAACUACGUGCCAGCAGCCGCGGUAAUACGUAGGUCCCGAGCGUUGUCCGGAUUUAUUGGGCGUAAAGCGAGCGCAGGCGGUUUGAUAAGUCUGAAGUUAAAGGCUGUGGCUCAACCAUAGUUCGCUUUGGAAACUGUCAAACUUGAGUGCAGAAGGGGAGAGUGGAAUUCCAUGUGUAGCGGUGAAAUGCGUAGAUAUAUGGAGGAACACCGGUGGCGAAAGCGGCUCUCUGGUCUGUAACUGACGCUGAGGCUCGAAAGCGUGGGGAGCGAACAGGAUUAGAUACCCUGGUAGUCCACGCCGUAAACGAUGAAUGCUAGGUGUUGGAUCCUUUCCGGGAUUCAGUGCCGCAGCUAACGCAUUAAGCACUCCGCCUGGGGAGUACGACCGCAAGGUUG
rnacentral:rRNA from 1 species